ACUGUCUGAUUCUACUUGCUAACUUUUCUGUGCAACUUGUAGGACCCACCCAGUGUUGAUUCAGGGAGAGACCUCAGUGGGUAAAACCAGUCUGAUCAAAUGGCUGGCUGAUGCCACUGGAAACCAGUGUGUGCGAAUCAACAACCACGAGCACACCGACAUACAGGAGUACAUUGGCUGCUAAUCUUUCGAUACGACCAGGAAGCUGAUCUUCAGAGAAGGAACAGUCCUAGAAUCUGCCCAUCAUUUGGUCAUCAUUAUUUUUUGAAUGAGCUGAAUCUGGCUCCCGUGGAUGUGGUGGAAGUUCAGAACUCACUGCUGGAUGACAACCGGGAGCUCUUCGUUAAAGAAACGCAGGAAGUAGUCAAAGCCCAUCCCAAGUUAUAUUUAUGUUUCAACAGUUAAAUACAUUUUCAUGCAUGGCAUUUGGUAUUUCAUCGUUCUCCCUUUCUUUCUUCCAAGCUGUUUUGCAAUUCAAUUUGAUGUAAUAAAUGUGAUAUAUUUGAUUUGGUUAUUAGUAUGUAAACAGGCAGUCUAUAUUUAAUUUCGACCACAUGUUCGUAUUCAGUCACAUCGAAGAGGCUUGACGGUUUUUGCCGGGAAGCAUGGCUUCAUCAGCCUGAGAGAUCUGUUCCGAUGGGCUAAGCGCUGCUGGCUGGCAGAGGAGAACCAGAAGGACCUUGACUGGCUUCAGCACCUCGCAAACGAUGGUUUUAUGCUGCUGGCUGGUCGAGUGAGUUACCCAGAGGAAGCAGCCAU